rnacentral:misc_RNA from 1 species
GAUGAAGAACGUAGCGAAAUGCGAUACCUGGUGUGAAUUGCAGAAUCCCGUGAACCAUCGAGUCUUUGAACGCAAGUUGCGCCCGAAGCCACUAGGCCGAGGGCACGCCUGCCUGGGCGUCACACGCCGUUGCCCCCCCAUCUACUCCUUCGGGAUUGCGGGGGGGCGGAUGAUGGCCUCCCGUGCGCCUAGCCGCGCGGUUGGCAUAAAUACCAAGUCCUCGGCGACGCACGCCACGACAAUCGGUGGUUGCGAAACCUCGGUUGCCUGUCGUGUGCGUUCGUCGCGCAUCGAGGGCUCGAAAAAAUGCUCGGCUCCGGCUGGGCUUUCAACGCGACCCCAGGUCAGGCGGGGUUACCCGCUGAAUUUAAGCAUAUCAAUAAGCGGAGGA